rnacentral:misc_RNA from 1 species
AAUUUUAAAUUAUUUUUUAAUAUUUUUAUAUUAAAAAAAUAAUUUUCUCAAUAACAAUAUCAAAUAAACCCUAAAAAUAGUAGUCAUUCUAAACAUGGACCGGACGUUCCCAAUUAAAUGCUUACAAACUAAGCAGUUUCUUUAAAUUUUUUUUAUGAUAUAUAAUUGAAUAAAAUUUCAAUUUUGAAGGUGUGGCUGUUGGAUGUGGAUGG